ACCUUACCUUAACCUUAAACCCUUAAAAACCCUUAACAUUUCUCAAACACGAAAAACACUGAGAGUGAAAGAGAGAGAGAGAGUCAGAAAUGGCUUUGAGAUCAGGUUCAUCGCUGUCACGCUCGUUGAUCUCUACCGCUAGGGCUUCAACGCGCCGCGCAUCGCCGCCACUCCCCCGCCUCCGUCCUCCGCCUCUCGCCGCUCCCCGCCGUCUCUCCUUUGCUCCCCUCUCCAGGAACUUGGGAGAAUUGGGAUGCACACAAUCGCUGCUGCCGCUUGGGAACGUGAUGGCUGCGACUCGCCUUACAUCUCACAUUGCUGUCAACGUGCGAGCUUUUUGUGAGCUGUCUCAUGGUACCUUCUGCCGUACUUGUCAGGAUCGCUAGUAGUUUGGUGGAAUGGAAAAGACGGGUGAUGCACGAGGACUUUCAAUCAUCCAAAUGGCAGGGAGAAUGAUGCUGCAUUGUAGGUACUUGAAAGAGCAGUUGUAUCAGCACAUUUGUGUGCCAAAAAAAAAGAAAAGAAAAGUUAAUUUGGGGCAGUCGUAGAGAGUGGAUAUUCUGUAGGAGCUUAUGCUUUCUAGUAGGAUAGGAAAUUAAUAAGUUUGUCAUCUAGCUUAUGCCAUUUCCAAGAAGAAACUUGGGAGUUUCUCCAUAUCAUGGUCAUCAACUUGCAUUAGUUUUGGCUAGUUGAAUCUUUUGUUCAAUGAUUUCUGGUACUGUUAGUUUCUGAAGCACAUCUAUUAGCUUUUGCUGCUUUAUUUCUUUUUAAUAAAAAAUUGCAUUGCUUUUUCA